AUACCGGCUGCUCGAGUGAUGGCCACUAUUACUGGGUUUAAAGCGUCCGUAGCUUGACUGUUAGGUCUCUUGGGAAAUCUUCACGCUCAACGUGAAGGCGUCUAAGAGAUACCGGCAGUCUUGGAACUGGGAGAGGUAAACCGUACUUCGGGGGUAGGAGUGAAAUCUUGUAAUCCUCGAGGGACGACCUAUGGCGAAGGCAGUUUACCAGAACAGCUUCGACAGUGAGGGACGAAAGCUGGGGGAGCAAACGGGAUUAGAUACCCCGGUAGUCCCAGCCGUAAACAAUGUGCGUUAGGUGUGUCGGUAACCACGUGUUACUGAUGCGCCGAAGAGAAAUCGUGAAACGCACCACCUGGGAAGUACGGUCGCAAGGCUGAAACUUAAAGGAAUUGACGGGG
rnacentral:rRNA from 1 species